UCAGAUCCUUACACGAGCUUGAAACCUGAGAACGAGUAUUUCCAGGCUGAUGAGGUGGAUGCUUCGUAUCUGUCAACCCAGGCUAGCUCUACAGGACCGGAGGGCUAUGUGAAUAUGGAGAAAACCAAGAAUCAAGGUGGCAGCCCGUAUGAGAACGAAUAAGGAGACCCAGGUGUCUACUCGAGUGUGCCUCCCACUCUGACAGAUUCAAGACCACGGACUGGCUACUACAAACGGUUUUACUAAGCAGUGUCUUCUGACGGCAGUUAAAACAAGUUGAAAACAAAACGCCGUGUUGAACCUUUUCAGCUUUUCAGCUUUUCAUGUCUUUGCAUGCGGGUCUUGAAGUUGGAUGAACAACAUAAUCAAUAAUCUAAAAGCCCGUUAAAAAAGGCCAACUCUAACUUAAGGAUCCGACACGUUUUCUUUAAUGGUAGCCUUCAGUGGCUUAAAAAAUAGGUUGUUUACAGCAUUUACCUAAAACAUUAAUACGUUGGCCUGUUCUCCUCAACAUCAAAGUUUAACGUACGUCUGAGAAACACGGACCACCAGAAUAUGGGUGAGUAAUUUUCGAAACUCACGUAGAGAGAGACUUCUAGCAGUGGAAUGAAACCUACAAGCUUACAUUGAAAUAUGGAGGCAGUGUGGUGUCCUUGUCUCAAAAUGAACAAUUUGUAGGCUGGGUUAAUAGUUUAUUUUAGGGAUCCUGCAUAUAUCCGGAUAGCAGUUUUCAAUAUAGUGCCCUUAUAGAUCUACAUUUCUAUUACUGGAUUACUUUUUUUAUAUUAUUAUUAUUAUUUUUUUGGUCACUGGCCUGCAAAAGUUUUAUGCAAAGUUUUGUGAGCAUAGGUAAAUUUACAAAUGAGCUAGUCUGAGCUUGUUCACAUGCCUCUGUUCGCUUUGAAAAUGUUUAGGUUAUUUAUCAAUGAACAUAUUUGCACACAAAAAUCACCAAUCUGAGAAGAAAGGAAUGAUCAGUCCGGCAGUUUGAAGUUUGAUUAUAGAUAUGAUGAUUUUGCUGAGCUUUUAUAGAUUUUUACUGUGAGUGUAAACUAAUGUAUGUGUGUGUGUGUGGGGGGGGGGGGGGGGGGGUUGUCGUUGCCUUGAGGUUAAGGUGUUCGCCUCUCAUUCAAUGGUCCCUGCUUUGAAUCCAGAUACGGACGAAAAAUUUCCUUCGCUGAUAUUAUCUCAUGUCACCUACUUUUGUGCUCUCUAAUAAUGUUUCGUUGCCUACUUUCGUCUCCACUUUCUGCCCCCACCAACUCACCUCCUUUGCACCAU